AAGGACUUAGGCUAACUAGACCAAAGGCCUUCAAAGCCUUAAGUAGAAGUUAAAAUCUUCUAGCCCUUG
rnacentral:tRNA from 1 species